ensembl:snoRNA SNORA75 Small nucleolar RNA SNORA75
UCCUUCUCAUUGAGCUCCUUUCUGUCACUGGUGGCAGUCACGGAUUCGCACGAGAAGAAUAGCACUUCACAGAACCAGCGUUGCUUUAGCCUCUCUUUUGGCAGAAGUGUACCGGCUGUUCUGUGAGACAUGC